AUGGGCCCGGGCAGCAACACUGACUGGUUUGGCGUUUCAGUGUUAACCAGCAACACCACAGGCUCUAGCGUUUCCAAAAAGGAGAAAAUAAGAUGCAAGGUUUUUGGGCCGCGCUGUGGGCAGCCCAUAACGGAGCUGUCGGCCUUGGCCCGUCAAAUAGGGGGACGCCUCCUUCCUUCCUCCCGUCCCACCAUCGGCGGCGUGCACCACUUCUCUCCUGCUGCCGCUCGCACAGUCUCGCAGCUCCCCAUACCUCACCGCUUUGCUCGCCACACGAAGGCGAGAGACGAAUCCGGCCGAGCCUCCGCCGCCGCUCAGCUCUUCCUCUCGGGACCUCGACUCGUCGAGGCGGAGUUCCUCGCGCCGUCCGUUCUCCAUUCCCGGCACCAGUUCAGGCUUCGUACUCCAGCUCCAGCUGCAGGACCGUGGCGCGCGCAGGGGCAAAUCGUAUUGCCAUGGCGGUUCAGUAGAAUGGUGCAUUCGGGGGGCGCAGGCUGCCACCGGUGUGGUUUGUGGCCAAGUGGAUCAGCCCCAAUUAUCGUUGUCACCGUCUCGAUGAUGCGCCCUUCCCGUUUCAGAGCACAUGCGGUGCAUUUAGAUUGUCCCCCUAGAACUGAACAGAGAAAUGUUGACGAUUUAGUGGUGAUGAGGCCUUACCAGCGGCCUGGGUCAGGGGACGAUUUCGCCAAGCGGAAGAAUGCGGGUAAUGUGGUAGUAAUGCGGCCAGAACGAAGAAUGCGGGAUGGUUCGGUGGAUCGUGCAGCCUCUGGAAAUGGCAGAGCAGCCGGGGACAUCGAGAGGGCCAUUUUGUCCCUGCAAGCUAAGCCGUGGAAACACUUGGGUCAGAACUCAAACGAGGGGGUUGAUUUGCCGAAAGAUAAAGGGGUGUUUUAUGCUGGCAACCUUCGCCGCUGUAUUAGAUUAAUCCGUGGCCUUGUUAAAACUGACAAGGCAAAUAAAGCCAGGGAAGUCCUUGAGGUUAUGGUGCUCUCAGGUGGGAUUCCAGAUACCAUCACCUGCAACAUGCUGAUUGCGCAACUUUGCUGCACAGGGCAGCUGGAUUUGGCGAUGAACGUAUUGGAGGACAUGAGGGCAAUCACCUUUUGGAAAGAGCAAUUAAGAAUAGGUUGGCCACCAUAUGUUAUGACGAGCACCUUGCUUGUUGAUCUUGUAUGCAAAAACUGUGGUCCUAAGCGUGCCAUGGAAGUCUUGAAUGAACUUGCUCUGGAGGGAUGCCAACCAGAUGUUGUCACCUACAAUGCUCUUAUCAGUGCAUCUUGUAAAGCAGGCAGGCUGAAGGACGCAAAGACCAUCUUAACUCGUCUUAUUGCUGAAGGCCUUGAGCCAAAUAUUACGUACAACACACUCCUAAAUGCCAUAUGUAAAGAGGGUAUGGUGGAAGAAGCUCUUUUGAUAGCCCGUUGCAUCAGAGAAAAUGGAUGGCAGUUGGUUCGUAUUACGUACAACACCCUGAUAGAUGCUUUAGCAAACAAGGGUGAGGUGGACAAAGCUAUGACUCUGUUUGAUGAGAUGUCUAGUGAUGGGAUCAGUCCCGAUGACAUUACUUAUGGUUCACUUGUUAUGUGCUUCUGUAGGAAAAACAUGGCUGAAGAGGCCCUAGAGCUCUUGAAUCGUACACUUGCUCUUGGUUUUCAGGUUAAAGUAACUACUUUUGUCAUGGUGAUCCAGGCAUUGUGCAGAGAUAGCAAAGCGGAAGCUGCUGCUGAUAUACUGCGAGUAAUGGUAUCAGAAAUUAAAAACACCAGCAACUCAUUUUAUCUAUCUAUAGUCAGAAGAGUCGCGAAAUCAGGCAGGAUUGAAGAAGCAGAAAGGCUGCUUCAGGAAUUAGUUGACUGCAAGAUAGUGAAAGAAGAUUCCCCUGUUGUGUUGAGCAGCUAG
rnacentral:rRNA from 1 species